GAGUUCAAGAAGAUGGAGAUGAGAGGCAAAACACAGAUGAGAGCAGUCUCAACAGGGUUUGGUGACCGACUACAAUGUGUAUUUCUGGCAGCUGUGAAGGAAUCACUCUGAGCAAGCAGAAGUCCCCACACUCUUACCCUCUGCCUCUUCUGUGGAGAGAAGCGCUGUGGGCCCACCUCCAUCCCAGCUGAAGAAGUGGACUAGCUCCUGGUGGAAGAAGAAAAGAGCCAUGUCUACUUCAGAAGGCUGCUGUCACACAGUGGGAACCCCAGCCAUGCCAGUAAAACCCACGAUCAGUGCCGCUGUAUCCUCAAGGCUGAGCCAUUGAGCCACUGACUCCCCUGAUCCUCCCACCAGAGAUGAAAAGUGACCCAAACACUAA